rnacentral:lncRNA from 10 species
GGCAGGCUGAAAGAGAAGUCAAUUGUUUAUGAGAAAGAUGCUCAAUUGGAAAAUCUUUAAUCACAUUUAGGAUACAAGAGGCCAGAAAGAAGAAAAUACCAGAGCUCUAAUUUCUACAAACUUUAAUCUGAUGCUAUGGCAGAAACUAGAUUUACAUCCUAAGACAAACAGCAGCUAAGGGAUCCAAGAUGAAUGGUCCCAGAGGAAAGGUGUUGAAUGACAAAAGGAGUGAGUGUUAAAAACAAAGAGAAAACGUCGAGAACGAAAAUGAAAAUAAAUGAAUAACCACCAGAAAAGCACACUAUUUUCAAAAGGGAACAAACUGGAAUUCCUUACAUCGUAUUACUACGCAGUGGCUGGAAGGUGCUCUGACAUUAAGAUGGCGAAGGGAUCUGAAAGCCUGCCAGGUGACUGAACUAGCACUGUGCCUCUAACUAGCAGUGUGACCGUGGACAUUUACGUUGCUCCUCCACCCUCAACUUUCCCAUUUAUGAUAUGGGUGUAGACAUCUUGUGCUGAAGGAAAUCAGCUACAUGGAGAGGUAAAUGAGUGAGCAGUAACUCUGAGGAUAUUACCAAACAUACCAGCACGGACUCAUGAACCCAUUCAUACUAAACAGUAAAAAAAUGCUUGACAGCAGUGGGCUGUCUGUGGCUUAACAACAGAUGACCAUGGUACAAAAUACUUGAAGUGGCAGUGGGAAAAUAACAUUUUUUACUAAUUUGGGGGCACUAAUCAUACUUUUUGGACUUACACUCCUUUAUUUCUAUUAACUCCUUAUGGCAUCUGAUUUUCCCUCAGACUUUUCUAGAUUCCAAAAGAGCACUGAGGAUCAGAUGACUAAGGCAAGCAAAGGAGGCAUUUUUCUCCUGAUUUCCCUAAAGCAGAUUCAUCUUCUCUGCACAGAUGCAGGGAUGAUAAAAGAGAAGAGAAUGGGUGAAAACAAAACUGUGCAGCUUUGGCCCUGAUUCUUUUAGUGUUUCUGACUUCUUAUUUCUAUUUCUCUCUCUCUCACACGCACACACACACACACACACGCACACACACACACACACCCAGGCACCAAGACAUCAGGUGGUGACAGAUUCCUCCCACCUACCUCUUAUCGGCAGUGGGAGUAGAGCUGGCAGGAUGCAACUGCCUACAACUGUUGGCUAUAAGGAUCCUCCCCACUAUUAAUGUCUCUGAGUGAGAAAACAACUUUGAAAAAAAGACACAUGUCGUUUCUGCUCUGAAACUGGCCACAGUCUGUAACCUAUCUUCUAUGCCCAAGACUCAUUUCUCUGGUUUGCUAAUCUCAAUAACCUAAAAGCCAGGAUCCUGACUGUAUAGUUCAACACGUUUCCUACUGGUCUGCCAUUUUGGUUCUAAACUAGUUCCUCUUUAAAAAUGAGAUCCAUACAUGCAGUAAGAGAAUUAAAGACUGCGAGGACUAAUUUCCCCUACCUCACCACUUAGUCUGCUGCCACUAGGUUAGUUUCCCAACUACAGAAUACAAAUUUGAGCCAGUACAAGUUGUAUGCAGAAGUAUGGAUGUGCCAUUUACGAGUGGUAUGACUUAAAGAAAAUAUCGAUCUGGCUCAGAAAUUUAAAUAAUGAUGAUUUUCUAUCAUGCUUAUUUAGAAAAGCAUAUAGGUUGAAUAGGUCUAAUCUAAAAAUCUGAAAUCCAAAUGUUCCAAAAUCAGAAACUUUUUGAGUAUCUACAUGAUGCUCAAAGGAAACACUUAUUGGAGCAUUUAAGCUUUUGGAUUUGGGAUUUGGGAUGCUGAACCAGUAAGUAUAUGCAAAUAUUUAAAAAAUCAGAAAAAAAUCUCAACUUUCAAACAGUUUUGGUUCCAAACAUUUUGGAUAAGGGAUAAUCAACCUGUAAUAAGAUAGCUGCUUAUUAUUUUUAAUUUAACUGUACCACAGUGACUUAAACAUAGUUUAAAAAAAGGAACAGACAUUUUUUCAUGUAAUCUGCUCAUGUAAUAAGCAGUGAUUUUGUUUACCAGUUAUGUGGGCAAUACCCUGUCAAGAAUUUCACAAAACAAAACUCUAUGACUCAUUUGCCAUCCAUCCAUUCAUCCAUGCAUCCAUGAGCCAAACAAUGAAUUAAUCAUUCAUUUAACAAACAUUUAUGGGGUGGUUUUAGAAUACAGGCAUAUUAUCCCUGAGCAGCAUUUUGAAAUAGGCAAUUAAAAAUGUGGAAUCUUCUCCCUCUCCCUCUCCCUCUCCCGUCUCCCUCUCCCUCUCCCUCUCCCUCUCCAGUCUCCCUCUCCCCACAGUCUCCCUCUCCCCACGGUCUCCCUCUGAUGCCG